AACAGCGGGCCGUUACACUCACAGUGUAAGAACAGACUGACAAUUCCAGGGCGCUGGCUUUUAUGAAAAUAGGAAACGCCACGAUGCACUCUAACGUGGAGAUGGGGCGCCGUUCACAUUGAGAUGAGAGGUGGAAAAGAGAGCUCGCCCUUCUUGCAUUGUCACACGGAGCGGCCCUCUCCCCGUGCAGCGUGGAGUCCCCUGGGCGCAGGCGAGGCUCAGGCGGGACGCGGCGGAGACCGAGCUUGUCCCUGUGUGGACCCGGGCAACUGCCGGUGGGCGAGGCCUGGAUGGUGGCCAGGCCACAGCCACCCGGACGUUUGCGAGCGCCGAAGGUGUGUAAAAAUCGCUCCAGUGGUGAAUUGGAAACACCCAGUGCCAGGAAGUGCUUCCACAGGCUUAAUGCAUCUCUGCUCCUUCUUUUUUCAGAAAAAUUCAAAGUGUUUAGACGGGGGAUGCUGAGAGAGAAGCCGGCUUGCUGGGAGGUGCGAGCCCAGAGCACACGCUCCACCUAGACUGCGGGCAGUGCCCCACCAUGAGGAGCUCAGCAGUUUCUUCACGUGGUGGUUUCCACCAUGCAAAAACAUCCAAGAUCUAUUGUUUAUGUAGCUUGUACUUAGGGUCAGGCCCCGGUUCAAUUCCUAACAUUGACAUUUUGUAUUUGUGUGACUAAUACACGUGUUAUUAAGAAAGUUACUACUGUCUUUAAGAUGCAGUUUCCUCAUCUGUGAAAUGGAAUAUUUGUGUAUUCCAUAUGUUAUAUAAUAUUACUGCCUGCUUAACCUUGGCCUAGUGUUUGAAGGACACAAAUCCUGAGUCUAGCACAGAGCAGGUGCUUAAUGAAUACCCCAGACACGGAGGAAGGCAGCAUCUGGAUUCCAAGUUCUUUUCCUGUAUAUACAUUUAUAUCUCUCUGAAUAGGCAUCUGCGUGUGUUUCUUUUAUUAUAGACAGGUUGUCUGAUCUCAAUCCGUUAGAGAUGGGGUAGCCUUAGGGACCCUCUGGUCCCACAUCUCACUGUACAGGGGAUGCAGGAUUUGCCAAGGUCCUACCCAUUAGUGAGUAGCAGAGCCUGGAUGAGUUCCUCGGAUCAGGAGGAGGCGGUGUGCUCCUGUCCUCCUGUGAGAUGAAGCCAUUCUUAAUCCCAGCCUCGGAUCAGGAGGAGGGGCUGUGCUCCUGUUCUCCUGUGAGAUGAAGCUGUGCUCAACCCCGGCCUCGGAUCAGGAGGAGGGGCUGUGCUCCUGUCCUCCUGUGAGAUGAGGCCAUGCUCAAUCCCAGGACAGGUGCAGGCGAUUGCUUUCACCUUCUAACUUUAGAAUCUGGAGAGUCCGCAUAGCUCCUACUUUCGAAGCUGCCUCAGAGAGUCUUUGUUAUUGCAAAAUGCGUGUGGGCAGGCUGGACCAGGCAGUGGAUCUUGUUGUUUUGUUAGGGAGAAAGGAAAACUGAAGUUCCAUCACCUGCCAGUUAGUCUUGGUCUACCUCCAACCCAAACUUGGGCUCAGUGAAGCAGAUUAAUAAAGCAAUGGGGCAUCUCUGGCUGCUGCGAGCACCAUGAAUAUGCAUGCAGUGCAGGCCACCGGCUGGAACGCUUUUCCCACCCUGGAAUUCGCCAGUCACGUUUCUACUCUCUGGGUUUCUUUCUAAGUUGAAAGAUUCUGGAAUUGUGGAGCUGGAAGGGAUAUUAGUGAAGACCAUCUGGUCCAGUGUCCUCAUUUUACAGAUGAGCUAACUGAGGCCAGAGGGGAAGGGCCACUCCAGGGCACACUGCGAAUGGCUCCCAAACCCAGGACCAGGCCAGAUCUCGCAGCUCUUGCUCCAGAGGAUGCUUAGUGCCUGCAGUGCUUAGGGCACUCAUUUUUUUGCUGAAUUUUGUUUAUUGAGACCAUAUGGAAAGCGAGUUGAGGCUGAAGUUACAUGCAUUCAGGACCAAGAGAAAUGCAAUUGAUCACAAGAUCCUUCUGUGUUGGGCCGCUGAGCAAAUCGUGGGGUCACCCUCUCUCUUAGCAGUACAGGCUAUGUCGAUAUGAUGAUAUCACCUUAGAGCUAAUGAAAUGCAUUCCUGAGAAAUAAAAUGAUCGUUUCUGUUUUCUGCAGAGCAAUUCCAAAUGAGAGAAGCAAUAACACUUUUUAUGACCUAUUCAAAUCACUCUCAUUUCACUAAACAACCUUCACACCUGUGGCAGUUCUUGCUUCCCUCGCAGGGGAACUACCCUGAUGUCGGAGAAAACUAUCCUUGAGUGAGGCCUGACACUAUGCCUGUGAUGAUGUGAGCCAUCUGCAAAAUUCACCGUGGAGGACAGAAUGCCACUUAGGCUAAAGCAGGAGGAAGGGGCCUAUAAUUCUCGUCAUCUUUUGUUUGAAUGCAAACGAAACUACAGCCCAGGAAAUAAAUUCAAUGUACUUUGACAAAACAUGGGUAAUCUUACCAGCAUAGUCUCAAGUGGAGAAAGGUGACCACCUAAACUAAGAAUCAACAAAAAUCAAACAAAAUGAAACAUGUUGUUUAGAAAUGCAUUCAUUUGUGAUAAAACUGUUUUUAAAAAGCAAGAACAUGAUAGACACCCAAUUUGGGAUAGUGGCCAUGUUUAGAGGGCUGCAGGGGGGAUGCUGUGUAGGAGAGGCACAGAAAAUUGGUGUUGUUUGUAAAUUCGGGGGUGAGUUAAAAAAGUAGGGAAGAAGGAAGAUACCAAACCAACUUCUGGACAGAACUUCUGACUUUGUAGCAGCCUUGCAGUCUUUAUUAAGCAAGAUGCGUUAUGCCAAUGAUUUCAGAUAAUUUACUAGCAAGAGGAUACUCAAUUCUAUCUUGUUUACGAAUGAAAACUCCAAAAUAAAUGAGGCUCUGUGCCGCGGCACCUCGUUAUUUCUUGUUCUGC
rnacentral:lncRNA from 1 species